rnacentral:pre_miRNA from 1 species
AAUAAGUGUAGCCGUAAAAAUCCGUGUCCAACGUUUGACAAUCCGUCUUAUUUGAAAAUUUUAUGAAAAAAAAUAAAAAAAAUAGUCACACCUGAAAUAUUAUUCAUGUUUUAUCAUCUAAUAACAAUAAAAAUAGUAAUCAUAAAAAAAAAUUUAAAUAAAACGAACGAUCAAACGUUAGACAUAAAUAGUGCAAAACUGCACUUAUU